GAGUAAGGACAUUAAAACUGUUCUUAAAGAAGCCUUGAAGGAGGAUAGAGAGGGCACGGAUGGUCUUGCCGCGAUGCUGGUCAUGAUGGCAUAUUUCAAGGAAGCAGACGAUGGCCUUUUUGUCCUAGCUGAUGCAACAACGACGCCUGCUGAUGCCGAGAUGGAAUGCUCACUUCCCACCACCCCGAGGCUCAUUGUGUUAGGAGAAACCGCAUGGUCUGCGAACCGGUGGAUGCUGUCGAUAGAAGGCCGUAUUGUGAUCGCACAUUCACCACCCAUACCAGAUUUCCCAACUGCCCUCGCUGUCUUGUUCGCC